rnacentral:rRNA from 1 species
AUGAGAGGGUAAGGCUCCCAGUAGACGACUGGGUUGAUAGGCCGGAUAUGGAAGCACGGUAACGUGUGGAGUUGACCGGUACUAAUAGGCCGAGGGCUUGUCCUC